UAAAUAACACAUUUCAAGGGCCCUGAGUGCCGAUCACCCGCUUUACUGACUUGAGCGUCGAGGUGCCUUCUGCAAGUACCCCCAUCCGGUGUUCACCAUAGGCCGGGAGCCGAAGGAGAAGCACGAAGGCGAGAAAGAUCCCAGUGAAUCCCUAGCAACCUGCUCGACCGAAAGAGGAAGACGAAAACUUCAAUAGUUCUCUACAUCUCAUCUCCCUAGUAGGAAGAUGAAUAAAUAACUAUUUUUAUGUGCAAAUCUGUGAUUUUUUUAAAGUUAAAUUCUAAAUCUUUAAUCACCAAAUAUAUAGAUACAAUAAUAUCUAAACUCUUACUAAUGACUAAUGUUAUAUUUUAUUUUCUAAAGUACAGUGAGAAGUGAAAUCCAUUUAGACAUGAGCUGUUACAUUUAUGGUUUAUUCUUGUGGAUUCUUAGUCAGUGAGCUGUUUUUUUCUUUUUCAUUCUUUUGUAAAUUUCUAUGCCGAAUUUAAGCUUCCAAAUGUUUUUUGGCAUCACCUUUGCAUAAAAUGAAUAAUAAAGUUUAGGAAAGGUUUCUUCCGGGCAGAACUUUAUCAACUUGUUACCAUGGAUUUUGUAACUUACAUGAACGUAGAUAUGAAGAAAAAAAAAAAAAGCAAAAGCUAAAUGCUGCUGUAUUCUACAGAGCCACAGAUCUGUGCAUGUUUGCUGGAAGAAAUGAUGAGAAAAAGUAACUUGGUGGACAUACCUGGUCCCCUUGCUUUUAUUUUGGAACUUUUCUUAUGCAGUGGACCACCAACUUUAUUUUUUUCUAUUAUAAACCAUGUUUUCUUGUUCUCUAAUCUUUCAUUUCUCAUGAAGUUGAACAAUUCUGAGGUAUCACAAUAAAGAAACACUGAGAGAGGAGAGAAGGCAAGGCUGUGCUUGUGGCAUAUCCUUGAUGGGUAAUAACAGGUUCAGAUUGUCAGAUAUGAUGCCAAAUGCAUGGUUCUAUAAGCUCAAAGAUAUGAGCAAAUCAAGGAAGAAAAAUGGCCCUCAUGUUAUGAAGAACAAAGUAAUUACCUCACCAACAACCUCCCAAAGGUCACAGCCAAGAUACUCUCAUUGUUUCUCCAUUGAACCCAACAUAGCUGGUAAGUUAUACAAUUCUCCUAUUUACACUAAGCACUCAGACAACAUAUUCAUUGAUUCACCAAGAAGGUCAUCUAAAAGAAGAACUAAGAGAAAAACAAUUUAUAAGCCUUCUCCCACAGUUGUCUCUUCACCAGUCAUAGAAAGUUUUAGUUGUCAUUCCACAAAUUGGAUUAAGCCAAAUCAACCUCAGUCUCCUGACUAUUAUCUCUCCUCCUCCGAGAGUUCUUCUGAAUCAAACUUCCAUGAGUAUGUUUCAUCUGAGUCUGAUGAGUGUGACAAGUUCACUAUUCCUGACCUGCUUAAUGGAGUAGCCUCUGAAUGCAGUUGCAGAGUUAGCUCUUCCACCAAUGACAUAAUCAUUGACAUGAAAAAUGAACCAUUCACUGGAAAUUGUGAAAAUCUUGAUGGGUUUGACACAAUUUCACAAUUAGGCCUUCCUCCGAUAUUGACAAAGCCAGUGAAGUUUGAUGAUAAGGUAAUUGAAGCCAUUGAGUUGAGGAGAUCAACUAAAUUUGAUGAGGUAAAGUCUCAUCAAUCUCUAGCUGUUAAAGUUAGCAAAGAGGAAAGCAGUAGAACUAAGAGAGAGAGAAAAACCAGUCCAGUAUCUAGAAUUUCCUCUGCUAAUUCUACAGGUAUAAGACUUAGAGUGAAUUCUCCAAAACUGGCAAGCAAGAAAGUUCAAGCCUAUGCCAGAAGGAGUGUGUCAUCCAAAGCAGGCAAGGCCUCAGUAGAUACAGGUUUUCCAGAGGGAUUUGCAGUUGUUAAGUCCUCACUUGAUCCACAAAGAGACUUCAGGGAGUCAAUGGUGGAAAUGAUAGUGGAGAACAAUAUCCGAGCAUCAAAAGAUUUGGAGAACUUGCUUGCCUGCUAUCUUUCACUGAACUCAAGAGAAUACCAUGAUCUCAUUGUCAAAGCAUUUGAGCAAAUUUGGUAUGACAUGGCUCUACUUGGAAUGUAAAGAUUUUAGAAUUAUCCAAUGCAUGUGUAUAAUAGUCUUGUAAGUAACACUUCUCUGGACCAACUUUUGUUCUGAACUCUCAAACCAAUGCUGUAUCAAUCUUUCGUAAAUUAAAAAAUGUAGUUGCCAAAAGGAAUUUGAGUUCAAGAGUAAGCUAUCAGCUCACUUACUUCAGAACUAGUUUAUUAAUGAAUUGUGAUUGAUAACCUCAUAAAAGCACUAGUGUAUGUGUAUGAUCCAUUCUCUACCUAUAUGCCAUGAUGAGCAACAAUCUGCUAACAAAAAUAAAUAAAAAAAUAUACUUUCUGAAUGGCCCUGCCACUUCCUUAUGUGGUUUUUGUUGUUCUAGUUGCUUGCGUUCAUCUAUUAUGUCAAAUGCCCCGCUUGUGUCUAUGUUAAAGUGUUUUUAAAUUACUAUCAGCAAUAAGGCAGACUUAGAAUAUCAUCGACUAGAGAUAAAGACAUCUCGUAACAAAAUUUACUUAGAUAAAAUUAACAUGACCAAGUGUCCCUUCAGAAAAUAAAGAAAGUAACAACCGAAGAAACAGAUUUUUAUUCUAAUUACUAUUUUUCAAGAAAUUGCCCUUAACUGGGUCGUUUGUGAAUGUUUGUUAUCAGAUGAUGAUGAGAUUUAUUACCAGUGUUCCUCUAAGAAUGCAGCACCAGAAAAAACAUCAAACAUAUUGCUUCUUUUAUAGUAACUUACUAAUAAUCCUCAAAGGUGUGAAACUUCAAAUAGUAUAUUAUUACUAGCCCCGGGCCAACUAAAAACACUAUACAUGCCAAUUAUUAAGAUUGGUAGUUUGGUAGCAGUAGCCAUAACUCUUUUCCUCGUCAACCCUUUAGCAGACUCAAAUAUUUACCUCCAAUAUAUCUGCAAGUAUAGGUAGUUCCAAAAAAAGUAAUUUUUUACCAUAUUGGGAAAACUGAAUUGGUAUCAUUAACUCAUUACAGUUUUUUAGCUCCUCUUUCUUUUUGGUCUGAUAGAGCACCAUACUGUAAAUUUCUAACUCUCAUGGUUCAACUUUUGGAAUGCAAAUUAUAUAUUUGUUGAACAAUAUAAAUUGAUUUUGAGAUAAAAUCUAUGCAUAGACCUAAACAUAUUGUGGAAUAGUUGGAAUAAAUAUGUGGGCAAGAAGAUGACAGUUGAUGGCAUUGUUUGUGGUAGGGAACAGUGAAUAAAGAUGAAUAUGUAGCCUUUAUAUUUAUUUCAUCUGCUAUUCAUUUAUCACGUAUUGAUGGAUUACAUAAAAAUAAUAAUAACAAUUAUUAGUUACUUUAUAUGCAACAAAAGUUUCAUUUCACUAACUAAAAUGGAUUACAUAAUACAUGAAUUGUGUAAAUCAUGUUGAUGAUAAAAGAAAUUGUAGUUUAUAAUUACAACUGUGAUUGUUAGGUAAAACUUUUUCAACUCACUUCAAUUGUUUCAAUCAGAGUGAAAAAGGAAACCACAACAAUGUAGAACCAUAAUCACAUUAUCAAUUACAUUUUGCAAAACUUUGAAAUUAGUACCUUUUUUAGAUGCCCUGUGAUUCAUUGUACUAGUAAGCUUUGUCAUCAAAAUCAGAGCCAAUGGAGAGCAAAGGAAC
rnacentral:lncRNA from 1 species